CAACACUGACUUUCAUUGUCUCCUGAUGGACAGUUCUCCAUGCCAUCACACCACUGCGAAAGGCUGACAUAUUUGUUAUCCAUAUUUAGUUUCUUACCAUAAAACCAAAGCACCGCAGCUAUGACCCCAGCAACGACCAGCAGGGUGAUGACUAUGCCAAGAAUAAAUGGCCAUUUUUUUCUCCUGGAAGCUGUUAAAGAAUCAAAGUUCAUGAGAACCAAUAUUUAGAACAUGAAAAUGACUAAAAUAGGUUAGAAGGAAUAGUUCACCCAAACAAAAGAA